rnacentral:misc_RNA from 1 species
AAAAAAAAAAAAAAAAAAAAGAGAUAAAAACAGAACCAAAACAGAGCAGAAUCGGGUACAGGGCAAGAAAACAGAGUCCCCUUUUCUGCUUGAGCGCCGAAACAGGGAAUUGAGAGGGAGAAUGACCCAAACCUGAAAUCAAUCCAUUUCUUUGAUUAAAUCAAGUCUUCAGUACCUAUUCUUGUCUUCCCAAACCGAAAUCCUUCAUUGAGAACGCCUAAUCACCAUUUUUCUCAAUUUAGACCCACUUGAUUGAAGGAAGGAAAAGGAGGACAGCAACUACCCUCUCCAAUUUUGAGGUUUUGAUCCUUAUUUUCAGUCAUGCUCUUCAUGGUAAUUUCUCUACAUCUACCUUUUUCCAUUAAACAAUAUUAUUUCUUACUUUCUCACCUAGAAGAUGGUUGAGUGAGGGAAAGAAACCCAUAUGGCUGUCCUUCAUCAAUAGCUCAUUUAACAUUCAUGAGAGCAUGUAGCUUUUCUUUAACCUUAUACAGCAACCUAGAAGUUGUUCCCAAGUCGUCAUUUGAGUAAGUGAUUGAAGAAGGAGGAAAUUGAAGUUUGGAGGGACGGUUUAUAUUGAUAAGUUUGCUUCGAAUGAUGCUUACCAAUGGGUGUGGUGAUUACUAAAGGAUUUUAUAUAAGCGCUAAAUUGACCAUGGCUGCCCCUUUUUGAUAUUUUUAAUAUUGUUGAGUUUAAGAGCAUGUAAGGAAAGUAGAAGAUAUAAAUAGUAAUUACUAUUAUUUUAUGCAUGUUUAAAUUAAGCUGCUAGGUUGAUUUGACAGUAAACCAUGUUAGAAUUAUAAAUAGAUAUUUUUAAUUUAUAUGAUGUGAAAUUGUUGUUGAUCAUGUGAAUAUUACACUGCGUCUUUCGCUACAGGAUAGGUACAACGGAUAAUUUUGAGUAACGAAUAAAAUAAUCUCAUAGAUGUUAAAGACGUAUAUUUAUUUAAGAAUUAUUUCAAUUACCCUAUGAUAUGUUAUGAUUUACUGAGUGCUUGUUAGAAUUAUUAGAUUUUUAGAGAACAUUUAUAUCAUCAGUCCUUUAUUAGAAUUUUUAAAGUACAUUAUACAUUUUACUUUCCACUCUUUCAUCCUAAGAAUUAAAUUUCUUUCUUGAUAUAUUAUUAUUCUCUUUAAUUUUAAGAAAUGACCUAGCUCCAGUCGUAGACCAUAGGGGUUAUCCAGCUGUUUAGAUUUUGUAUUAUCUAUAAUACAGGUGAGUGGAUAAAUAUAUAACAUUAGUAUUUUAUUAAAUGUAAAUUAUUUAUAUUAUUAUUUCUAAGUAUGAAAAUGGGAACAGAGAAUGGUAAUUUUAUAUUUUAUUAUUAAAUAAAAUGAGAUUUACAAUUACAGCUUGAUAAAUGGCCGAAUACACUCAAUAUAUUCAUCGAAUAGACAACACCCCAAUAACGGGUGAAUUAUUUUUAGCUCAGUUUAUAUUUAUACUGUCUUUGAGAUAGUGCUUGAUAUACACAUAGCUUUUGGGGCGUAUAUCAGGUGGUCGCUCUUUGGGGUUAGUUUUGCACUUGUGUAUGACAAAUAUUUUUAUUGCGCUUGGGUCGGUAGUGUCAUCAUAGAGCUCAAUAUGCCAGUAUUGCUCUCAGGCUGCUAAAGUUUAUUAUUGCGUCUGAUAUGCUAGCAUUAUCUAGAGGAAGCAUAUUGCUAGUGUAUGAGGUAUUGCAGAUUUUAUGAUUUUAAUAUAUUUGUUUCACCAAUAUUGUUACGGCAUGAAUUUUAUUUCAGCUCAGCUACAUGAAUUGGAUUAAAUGAUAUUUAUUCAGCUGACCUGUUCUAAUAUAGUAGAAUUGGUACUAUAAGUACCAAAACCUUAUUUGUUCCCCCUAUGUUAUUUAUUUAUCCGCUCGCUAAGUAGUUGUACUCACCCUCUUAAUUUUUCAAUAUUUCAGAUUCUUUUUGCUGAUUCCACCACUAACAGCCUCUCCUUUAGCGUUGUCCUCUCUUCCACUUUGUCAACUAUAGAAUC